UUAGAAAAAUAGGAAUCGAACCUAUAA
rnacentral:tRNA from 1 species